GCCUGGGUGGCUCAGUUGGUUGAGUGUCUGACUUCAGCUCAGGUCAUGAUCUCACAGUUCAUGAGUUCAAGCCUCACAUCAGGCU
rnacentral:tRNA from 1 species